rnacentral:rRNA from 1 species
UACGUAGGGUGCGAGCGUUAAUCGGAAUUACUGGGCGUAAAGCGUGCGCAGGCGGUUCGUUGUGUCGGUGGUGAAAGCCCCGGGCUUAACCUGGGAAUGGCUAUGGAAACUGGCGAACUGGAGUGUGGCAGAGGGGGGUGGAAUUCCGCGUGUAGCAGUGAAAUGCGUAGAGAUGCGGAGGAACACCGAUGGCGAAGGCGGGUCUCUGGACAGUUCCUGACACUGAGGCACGAAGGCCAGGGGAGCAAACGGG